GAUCUUUCCACAUUAAGUGAAGAUGACCUGCGAAGUCUUGUGCCCUGCAUUGGUCCUCGUAACCGUAUCAAGCGACACAUUGCCAUGCUUCUCGAAUCCAGCAACAACAAUUCGAAGCAGACUGUCAACUCUAAUCCAACUAAAAUUUUACUGAGUGAAGAAGCAUCUAAUACAUUGGGUGAAAUUUUACUGGACUCUGAGGAAGCAACAGAGGAGAACGGGGAACGCAGCAAUCAAAGUGAAGGCAGUGGUGAUCAAAAUGAACGCAGUGAGCAAAGUGAUCGCAGUGGCCAAAGUGAACGCAGUGGAAGUGGAUCUCAGUCCAGAACCCAGUCUACAACCAAAGCUCGUGCUGAAGCCACCAAGCGGCCCUUGGCCGAAGCUGCUGAUAUCAAGAGAACGGUGUGAGGAGUUAGCAAAGCUAGUGGUGAAUGAGUUUCCAACUGAAUUAGUGUCUACAUGGUUCAGAAUUGAAGACAGACCAAAACAGGAUGGGACUGUAGUCAAAGGCAGGAUUAUGACAAGGUUUUACACUGUGAGGCGUACCCUCAUCACCAAUGGAAUGGUAGAUGAUGAAAAUGAUGGAGAAGAAAAUGUUGAUGACGAAAUGGACAGCCCUGAAGACAAUGAAGAGGUGGCAGAGGCUUUGGCGUGGCUCAAAAGUAAGAAUGUAUCACCUUGGACACGAGUUCUCACCGCUUGGAAAUUGACCAGCAAAUCACGCUUAGCUAAACUGCAAGCUCCAGUCAUUGUGUCAGAUGAAGGCCCUUCUAGGAAAAAUCAAAGAAAGUUGUGAAAAAACGCAAAACUGACAAUGAUAAAGUUUACACAUACACAGCUGAAUUCCCUCAAAUUUAUCAGCCAACAGGAUGGCACUUGUUGGACAUUGACUUCGAGGUAUACAAACCAGAUGCCAUACUGAAGCUUAGUGCGGAAUACCCCAAGUUGGAACGAUUUGUACUGUCUAAACUGAGGCAGUUAGACCGAGACAAUCUUUAUGAUGAUUUUGACAACAAGACUG